UUAUUUCUCUCUCUGUAUUGAUAGUGACAUUAUAGGUCUUCCUGUCCAAAAGUGGGUUGCUUUGGCCACUGAGACAGUUGUAAAAAUGAUUUGAGUAGAAUCGUGAAAAGCACUUGUAUAGUAGAGCUUACCUUCUGGAUGCUUUUAGUACCCAGACAAUGCAAGAAUAUUCCAUGUUCAUAGGAUGGAAGAAUCAACAUUAUUAAAAUGUCCAUACUAUCCAAAGCAAUCUACAGACUCAAUGCAAUCCUUAUCAAAAUACCGGUCUUUUGUUUUUUGUUUUUUUAUAUUAAUAUUUACUUUAUUAGAAAUUAAAACAAAUUUUUAAAAAAUUUGAAAAAUUACCUAUAAAGUUUUAUGCUGAUUACUUGGGUGACAAAAUUAUCUAUACACCAAACCCCUGUGACACACAAUUUACUCAUGUAACAAACCUGCUCAUGUACCCCUUGAACCUAAAAUAAAAGUUGGAAAGGAAAACUAAUAAUAAACUCCAUUAAAUCUUCACAUAAAUAACAUACAUUUUAGAAAAAAAAUAACCAUUUUGCCAAAAAAAAUUGAGUGGUUUUAUUUUACAUUUUUAUAACUAAUAACUGGUUUAAUAGAAGGCAGCUAAAUUCCUAUAUCUGCCUCUUUAUUCACUCUGUUGCAUGUACUAUGUUGUCUUGGUCAAACUGUAGAAGGCAAAUCUGGCUUUACAUACAUACAUAAUGUGAGAAAGGAGGAGUAUUUAAUAGCACAUAUAUUUCUGGUUAUUCUUUUUUUAAUACUUAACCAAAACUCAACAAGUAGUAAUUUCUUUUUAUUAUUAUUAUUAUUAUUAUUAUAUUUUAAGUUUUAGGGUACAUGUGCACAAUGUGCAGGUUUGUUACAUAUGUAUACAUGUGCCAUGUUGGUGUGUUGCACCCAUUAACUCGUCAUUUAGCAUUAGGUAUAUCUCCUAAUGCUAUCCCUCCCCCCUCUCCCACCCCACAACAGUCCCCGGUGUGUGAUGUUCCCCUUCCUGUGUCCAUGUGUUCUCAUUGUUCGAUUCCCACCUAUGAGUGAGAACAUGUGGUGUUUGGUUUUUUUGUCCUUGUGAUAGUUUUCUGAGAAUGAUGGUUUCCAGCUUCAUCCAUGUCCCUGCAAAGGACAUGAACUCAUCAUUUUUUAUGGCUGCAUAGUAUUCCAUGGUGUAUAUGUGCCACAUUUUCUUAAUCCAGUCUAUCAUUGUUGGA
rnacentral:lncRNA from 1 species